rnacentral:rRNA from 1 species
CCAGCAGCCGCGGUAAUUCCAGCUCCAAUAGCGUAUAUUAACGUUGUUGCAGUUAAAAGGCUCGUAGUCGAACUUAUGAUCUUGUAGGCUGGACCCUCUGCCAAGCGCAGGGUUGUGUCUAUGUUUACUGGUCAUCCUUCUGGAAAACGCUUCUGCACUUGAUUGUGUGGAUUGUGGUAUCCAGAUCAUUUACUGUGAGUAAAUCAGAGUGUUUAAAGCAGGCUUGAUGCCUGAAUGUUCUAGCAUGGAAUAAUAAGAUAGGGCUUUGGUUCUAUUUUGUUGGCUUCUAGGACUAAAGUAAUGAUUGAUAGGGAUAGUUGGGGGUGCUAGUAUUUAACGGUCAGCGGUGAAAUGCGUGGACCCGUUAAAGACUAACUUAUGCGAAAGCAUUCACCAAAGAUAUUUUCUUUGAUCAAGAACGAAAGU